UUGGGAAUCUUGGACAAUGGGGGAAACCCUGAUCCAGCCAUGCCGCGUGAGUGAUGAAGGCCUUCGGGUUGUAAAACUCUUUCGACGGGGACGAUAAUGACGGUACCCGUAGAAGAAGCUCCGGCUAACUUCGUGCCAGCAGCCGCGGUAAUACGAGGGGGGCUAGCGUUGUUCGGAAUUACUGGGCGUAAAGCGCGCGCAGGCGGUCUUCCAAGUCAGUGGUGAAAGCCCGGAGCUCAACUCCGGAACUGCCAUUGAAAUUGUAAGACUUGAGGAUGAGAGAGGUGAGUGGAAUUCCCAGUGUAGAGGUGAAAUUCGUAGAUAUUGGGAAGAACACCGGUGGCGAAGGCGGCUCACUGGCUCAUAUCUGACGCUCAGGCGCGACAGCGUGGGGAUCAAACAGGAUUAGAUACCCUGGUAGUCCACGCCGUAAACGAUGAAUGCUAGCCGUUGGGCAGCUUGCUGUUCAGUGCGCAGCUAACGC
rnacentral:rRNA from 1 species